UACGUAGGGUGCAAGCGUUUGUCCGGAAUUAUUGGGGCGUAAAGGGCUCGUAGGCGGUUUGUCGCGUCGGGAGUGAAAACCAGGUGCUUAACACCUGGCUUGCUUUCGAUACGGGCAGACUAGAGGUAUUCAGGGGAGAACGGAAUUCCUGGUGUAGCGGUGGAAAUACGCAGAUAUCAGGAGGAACACCGGUGGCGAAGGCGGUUCUCUGGGCAUGAUCUGACGCUGAGGAGCGAAAGUGUGGGGAGCGAACAGG
rnacentral:rRNA from 1 species